UACGGGGGGGGCAAGCGUUGUUCGGAAUUACUGGGCGUGAAGGGCUCGUAGGUGGCCAACUAAGUCAGACGUGAAAUCCCUCGGCCUAACCGAGGAACUGCGUCCGAUACUGCGAUGCUUGAGGAUCAGAGGGGUGCAUGGAAUUUCCGGUGGAGCGGUGAAAUGCGUUGAUAUCGGAAGGAACUCCGGCGGCGAAAGCGAUGCACUGGCUGAUUUCUGACGCUGAGGUGCGAAAGCCAGGGGAGCAAACGGG
rnacentral:rRNA from 1 species